rnacentral:rRNA from 1 species
UAAGACGUAGGUCGCGAACGUUAUCCGGAAUUAUUGGGCGUAAAGGGUGCGUAGAUGGUGUAAUAAGUUAUCAGCGGUAAAUCGGGGCUCAACCUCGUGGAAGUCGGUAAUACUGUUAUACUUGAGUGCAGAAGAGGUUAACGGAACUCCAUGUGGAGCGGUAAAAUGCGUAGAUAUAUGGAAGAACACCAAUAACGGCGAAGGCAGUUAACUAUUCUGUUACUGACAUUGAGGCACGAAAGCGUGGGGAGCAAAAAGGAUUAGAUACCCUUGUAGUCCACGCCCUAAACGAUGAGUGCUAGAUAUUGGGAACUUGAUUCUCAGUGUCGCUAGUUAACACGGUAAGCACUCCGCCUGGGUAGUACGGUCGCAAGGCUG